AAAAUCAUUAGAUCCAAAAGGAGAAGAAGAAAAAGGAUUUGGAGAAUAUAUCUCUGCUUCUCUUCGAAUUUUUGUUGAUUCUCCUCCUCUUCCUUCUUCUUCU
rnacentral:ribozyme from 13 species